GACGAACGCUGGCGGCGUGCCUAAUACAUGCAAGUCGAACGAGAGCGACCGGUGCUUGCACUGGUCAAUCUAGUGGCGAACGGGUGAGUAACACGUGGGUAACCUGCCCAUCAGAGGGGGAUAACAUCCGGAAACGGAUGCUAAAACCGCAUAGGUCUUCGAGCCGCAUGGCUUGAAGAGGAAAAGAGGCGCAAGCUUCUGCUGAUGGAUGGACCCGCGGUGCAUUAGCUAGUUGGUGAGGUAACGGCUCACCAAGGCCGUGAUGCAUAGCCGACCUGAGAGGGUGAUCGGCCACAUUGGGACUGAGACACGGCCCAAACUCCUACGGGAGGCAGCAGUAGGGAAUCUUCCGCAAUGGACGCAAGUCUGACGGAGCAACGCCGCGUGAGUGAAGAAGGUUUUCGGAUCGUAAAACUCUGUUGUUAGAGAAGAACAAGUGCUAGAGUAACUGUUAGCGC
rnacentral:rRNA from 1 species